AGCAGUUAAGUUCUCUCUCUCUCGUUCCUUUUUGUUGUUUUAGCUCGACCACUCAUUUUAUUUUCCUGUCAUAACCAAGCAGGCUGAUAUAAAAAUGGUAUAAAAAAAAACAGCAGCACUUGUUGACUACGGUGGAAACUAGGUCCGCCUGGCAUCGCGACCCCAGCGGAGAGGCAGUAAUCAGGAUAAAGCACUACGCCAGUCGAGCGGGACACCAGUCAGUAUGUGAGCUGCUCCUGGACCAGGGGGCCCGUGCUAAUUCUCAAACUGCAUAAGGCUGCUGAGCAGGGUCACGUGGACAUGUGCGAGUUGUUGGUGAUGAACUGUCCUGCCUUGAGAAGCAUGAAGGAUAAAAGAUCACGCUUACCUUCAGACCUUUGCCUGAAGAACAGUGCCUUACUGGAGUUACUAAACCCUCAAUGACCUGCUGUGCUGCUUUGAUGCCCAAAUGAACUUCAGAUCCUCUACAAGUCAGUUUUGUACAAGCAGUGGGACCCUGCGUGAGGUUCUUCUUGGACUGCAGGAUGGAAACCAUCGCAGGAACCCCACUUAGGCUUGUGUCCAAGCAUGGAAAUAAAUGUUUUUGUUUAA